rnacentral:rRNA from 1 species
CACGUAGGGAGCAAGCGUUGUCCGGAUUUAUUGGGCGUAAAGAGCUCGUAGGCGGUUUGUCGCGUCUGCCGUGAAAGUCCGGGGCUCAACUCCGGAUCUGCGGUGGGUACGGGCAGACUAGAGUGAUGUAGGGGAGACUGGAAUUCCUGGUGUAGCGGUGAAAUGCGUAGAUAUCUGAAGGAACAUCAGUGGCGAAAGCGACUUCCUGGACGAAUACUGACGCUCAUGUGCGAAAGCGUGGGGAGCAAACAGG